rnacentral:rRNA from 1 species
GAUGAACGCUGGCGGCGUGCCUAAUACAUGCAAGUCGAGCGAACAGAUGAGGAGCUUGCUCCUCUGACGUUAGCGGCGGACGGGUGAGUAACACGUGGAUAACCUACCUAUAAGACUGGGAUAACUUCGGGAAACCGGAGCUAAUACCGGAUAAUAUAUUGAACCGCAUGGUUCAAUAGUGAAAGACGGUUUUGCUGUCACUUAUAGAUGGAUCCGCGCCGCAUUAGCUAGUUGGUAAGGUAGCGGCUUACCAAGGCAACGAUGCGUAGCCGACCUGAGAGGGCGAUCGGCCACACUGGAACUGAGACACGGUCCAGACUCCUACGGGAGGCAGCAGUAGGGAAUCUUCCGCAAUGGGCGAAAGCCUGACGGAGCAACGCCGCGUGAGUGAUGAAGGUCUUCGGAUCGUAAAACUCUGUUAUUAGGGAAGAACAAAUGUGUAAGUAACUAUGCACGUCUUGACGGUACCUAAUCAGAAAGCCACGGCUAACUACGUG